ACAAACAAAACAAACAAGAACAUCAUUAUUUUCGUAAUUUGGCGGGAUUGCUGUUGUGCUGCAUAUUUUUUUUUUCUUUUUUUUUCUUUUUGCUAUUUCUAUGUUAUUUUUUGAAA
rnacentral:ribozyme from 14 species